rnacentral:lncRNA from 1 species
UAUAAAGAACAAUUACUAAUACAUAUACAAAUAUUAAUACUUAUUCAGUUAAACUAGAAUAAUAUAAAUUAAGGCGGGCCACAAAAAUUAAAUAUCCGCCACAUAAGUUACCGAUGCAUAAAAUGCAAAAAUAAAAUAAAAUAAAUAAACUAGAAAUUUGACAAAAAUAAAAAAAAAAAGGAGAGGGCGGGUGGGUAAAUUUCGAUCUGAUUACUCUAACGUAUUCUAAUGUAAUGACUAGGAAAAAGAAUUCACUUUAAAACUAAAGGUGGAGUGAACACAAUUCGAAAUCAGUUAAGCGAGAAUAUCAAAUGAUCGGCCAAAGGGGGGUAACUAGAACAUAUUUCGCAUCGUAAUUACUAGUUUUUUAGAAAAAACAAACCAAUUACUUCUUGGCUUCAUAAAAGACUGUAAUAAUAAUAUAAAUUUAUUUGGCCGAAAACAUAAAUCUUUACAAACAUGAAUUACAAUAAUAUAAAGAACAAUUACCAAUACAUAUACAAAUAUUAAUACUUAUUCAGUUAAACUAGAAUAAUAUAAAUUAAGGCGGGCCACAAAAAUUAAAUAUCCGCCAAACUAGCUCGCCAAACAAAACCAAACAAGUUACAGAUGUGGUUAAACCCAAGAGAUGUAACACUCUCUUGAAAGUUCAACUCCAAGCAGGAAGAAUAAAACACUUCUUCAGCUGCUAGAUCUACUUAGGAGAUACUCACGGAAAUCUCUCCUAAAAGUAGAGUACCUUAAAGAGACAUAUAUACACUAAUGAAUCCAAAGGAUGAAACACUCCCUUGAAAAUUCAAACACCUAAGGAAUGAAACACUCCCUUUAGGCUAGCCUAUAAAAACUAAAUAAUAAUAAUGACAUACAUGAAGACAAAAUACAAAAUACUAAAUUAUUUACAUAUGAUUAAUAGCAUGCUGGAAACACUGGCGCAAUUCAUAUUGCCCAGCUUCAUUAAGGUGAAGCCCACCAUCUUUAAAAGCAAAUAAUGACCUUACUGGAAUGCCUUUAUGAAAAAAUCUUUUAAAAGACCUAAUAUAGCUUAAAUUACUCUUAGAACACAUCCUGAGAAUAUCAAAUGAUCGGCCAAAGGGGGGUAACUAGAACAUAUUUCGCAUCGUAAUUACUAGUUUUUUAGAAAAAACAAACC